rnacentral:lncRNA from 1 species
AAAAACAAAUAUCCUAAGCACAUUUACUUUACAUUUAGCGUAUAACCAUAAUCUCUAACCUAGGUUUUAUCAUACAUAUCAAAACAUAAAAUACCAUGGUAGAUGCAUAUAACAUACUAGCGUGAAAAAGAUAAAACAGUUAAAAUCUUUCUCAAUAACUUGUUUCAAAUUCAGCUUGUACUUGUAUUUUGACUAUAUCCGAUCAAAUAAUUCUUAAAACUACAUUAUCACUAUGACCUCCCGUCCUUAGUCGUAUUUGAUAACGUGAAUUUCCACAACCCCCUGAGUCCGGUAAUUCCCGGCCUAGUACCUCCCGAAAGGUAGAAACAUGAUGGUACCAUUAGGCCAUUACAUACAAAAAUCUUUUCAAAACUUUUCAUCUAUUCCAUGGAUUUAAAUUUGCCAUACAUAACAUAAUUUCAUGCCUAUAUAAGAGUAUCAAAAAGUUAAUUUAUUCUACUUUAGAGAAUUUGGUUUACUUUACACUACCUUAGAGAGUAGGGUUACUUACACUACCUUAGAGAGUAGGGUUACUUACUUGGCUUGUUUGGAAAUUGUAUUAAUCUCGUUCGUUGUAUUCCUUAAGGCUAAUCGUAUCGAUUCCUUACAUUUUAUUGUUGACAUAAUUAUAAUUAUACUUCCCUUUAAUAUUUAUAAGUAAUUAAUUUAUAUUUUUCAAGUAGUAGUCUAAAACUAUAGAUAUUUUUUAUUCAAAAAUUAUUAUUUAUUAUAAAUUUUUAAAAACGUAAUGGUUUUAAAAAAAUUUCACUUUCGCAGAACUAAAAAAAUUUCAGAUUUUUCUGUUCGGAUCCAAGCCUGUUUUGAGCUAUUUAACUUGAAAUUUGAAAAUACUAUUUCACAUAAACUUGUAGGUAUUGUUAAAAUAGCUAUCUCAGAAACUUGAAUCCAACUAAAAUGUUUUUCGUAUGAAGAAGUUAUGGCUAAAAUACCGACAGUGGGUCAAAAUAAAAACAAUAACUAGCUUAAUUUUUCUACUCGUCCUUUCAAGUCCUGUUGGGUCAUUAAACUUCGAAUUUUAAAAAUUCUUAUUUCACAUAAACUUAUGAUAUUAAAAUUAAUUCUCAGAAUCUUGAAAUCAACUAAAUGUUUUCAUAUGAAGAGUUAUGGCCAAAAUACUGACAGUUGGUUCGUAUAAACAACAAUAACUUAUUUUUCUAUUCGUUAUUUCCAAUUCUGUUUUCGACCCUUUAAAUUAAAAUUGGAAAAAUUGUAUUUCACUAAAACUGUAGAUAUAUUUAAAGUAUCUUUCAUAUGAAACUUGAAAUCAAAAUCAAAACGAUAUCAUAUGAGGAAGUUAUGGCUAAAAUAUACUACUGGUCCCGGUGUAAAAAAUUUUAUUUCAUCCAUACGAAAUUUUGGUUUUUCCGAAAAAGAUUUCAAAUAUAAAACAUAUUUUGGGAUAUCUUAACAGAUUAUUUAACACUAAAACAUGAGUUAAAAAAUAAUAUUCAACAUAUCGAAUUUAGGCAAAGAAGUAGAGAAAAAAUUAGAAUUUAACCUCAAAAUUUCCUCUCUCUUCUUUCUUUUUUUUUUUUUUUUUUUCUCUCUUAGAAACUUCCUCCUCUCCUCUUUCUUCUAUUCUUUCUCCUAUUCCCAUAUACUCUCCUUCUCAUCUCACACCCAAUCACAUAUAAUAUAUAUAAAUAAAAACAUAUUAUUAAUAUUUUAUUAUUCUAUAUUAUUUAUUAUUUUAUUUUUUUAUUUCUUCUUUCCACUUCGUCGGCGGACAAACUCUCUCUUUUUUUUUUUUUUUUCUUUUCCUCUUUUUCUCAUUUCUCGUUCGGCAGUUGUUGUCUCCCACCCCAUGCAAUUACACUUUUGUCCCCUCACUUUUAUAUCUUCUUUAAUUUUAUAUCCCAAAAAUUAAAUCACUUUUUAAAUUUAAACACUCAAAUGAACGUUAACAUUAUCUACUUAAUACUUAGAAAAAAAUUUAUUACUUUUCAUAAUUAAUAUCUAUUGUACAUGUUUCAUAUUUAUUGUAUCUAUUUUACUCUAAGUUCUUAAUUACUAUUAAAAUUCGGGAUGUUACAAUACUAUUUCUGUAAUUGCUACUAAUUCCUAGACUGUUAUAUGACAAUGAUGGGUAUUGCACGUUCUGGUGAAGUGAUUAUAUUGACAAUGAAGGGGGUUAUGGCUAAGUUUAUAGCCAUGUUUGGAAGUUUUAGACAUGAAAAGUCAUAUUUUUAACCAUAAAAUGAGUUGUUUAGAUGAAAAAUACACAACAAAAAAAUAAGAAACAUUUGAGUUCUUUGAGAGAGAGACAUAUAAAGUUUAGUUAGCCAAAGCUGCUUCAGAGGUGUUCUGAAGUUAUUGGUUAUAGCCGUUUUAUUAUGGAAGGAAGACGUCGAUGACACCCUACAACACUCUUGGUAGGUGUCCCCCCCCCCCCCCCCCCCCCCCCCCCACCCCCCCCCCCCCCCCCCGCCCCCCCCCCCCCCCCCGAAAUUUUUCUUAAAGACUCGGCAUAAUCUUAUUU